ACACGUGGGCAAUCUGCCCUUCACUCUGGGACAAGCCCUGGAAACGGGGUCUAAUACCGGAUAAUACUUUCUCUCUCCUGGGGGAAGGUUGAAAGCUCCGGCGGUGAAGGAUGAGCCCGCGGCCUAUCAGCUAGUUGGUGGGGUAAUGGCCUACCAAGGCGACGACGGGUAGCCGGCCUGAGAGGGCGACCGGCCACACUGGGACUGAGACACGGCCCAGACUCCUACGGGAGGCAGCAGUGGGGAAUAUUGCACAAUGGGCGAAAGCCUGAUGCAGCGACGCCGCGUGAGGGAUGACGGCCUUCGGGUUGUAAACCUCUUUCAGCAGGGAAGAAGCGAAAGUGACGGUACCUGCAGAAGAAGCGCCGGCUAACUACGUGCCAGCAGCCGCGGUAAUACGUAGGGCGCAAGCGUUGUCCGGAAUUAUUGGGCGUAAAGAGCUCGUAGGCGGCUUGUUGCGUCGGUUGUGAAAGCCCGGGGCUUAACCCCGGGUCUGCAGUCGAUACGGGCAGGCUAGAGUGUGGUAGGGGAGAUCGGAAUUCCUGGUGUAGCGGUGAAAUGCGCAGAUAUCAGGAGGAACACCGGUGGCGAAGGCGGAUCUCUGGGCCAUUACUGACGCUGAGGAGCGAA
rnacentral:rRNA from 1 species